rnacentral:rRNA from 1 species
CCUACGGGAGGCUGCAGUGGGGAAUAUUGCACAAUGGGCGCAAGCCUGAUGCAGCCAUGCCGCGUGUGUGAAGAAGGCCUUCGGGUUGUAAAGCACUUUCAGCGGGGAGGAAGGCGUUAAGGUUAAUAACCUUGGCGAUUGACGUUACCCGCAGAAGAAGCACCGGCUAACUCCGGCCAGCAGCCGCGGUAAUACGGAGGGUGCAAGCGUUAAUCGGAAUUACUGGGCGUAAAGCGCACGCAGGCGGUCUGUCAAGUCGGAUGUGAAAUCCCCGGGCUCAACCUGGGAACUGCAUUCGAAAGUGGCAGGCUAGAGUCCUGUAGAGGGGGGUAGAAUUCCAGGUGUAGCGGUGAAAUGCGUAGAGAUCUGGAGGAAUACCGGUGGCGGAGGCGCCCCCCUGGACAAAGACUGACGCUCAGGUGCGAAAGCGUGGGGAGCAAACAGGAUUAGAUACCCGAGUAGUC